rnacentral:rRNA from 1 species
GUGGGGAAUUUUGGACAAUGGGCGCAAGCCUGAUCCAGCAAUGCCGCGUGCAGGACGAAGGCCUUCGGGUUGUAAACUGCUUUUGUACGGAGCGAAAAGGCUCUCUCUAAUACAGGGAGUUCAUGACGGUACCGUAAGAAUAAGCACCGGCUAACUACGUGCCAGCAGCCGCGGUAAUACGUAGGGUGCAAGCGUUAAUCGGAAUUACUGGGCGUAAAGCGUGCGCAGGCGGUUAUGUAAGACAGAGGUGAAAUCCCCGGGCUCAACCUGGGAACUGCCUUUGUGACUGCAUAGCUAGAGUACGGCAGAGGGGGAUGGAAUUCCGCGUGUAGCAGUGAAAUGCGUAGAUAUGCGGAGGAACACCGAUGGCGAAGGCAAUCCCCUGGGCCUGUACUGACGCUCAUGCACGAAAGCGUGGGGAGCAAACAGGAUUAGAAACCCCUGUAGUCC